UGUGAUUAUUUAUUUUAAUGUUAUUUUUUUCUUCUUUUUUAUAGUUAAAAAUGUCUGAAGCUGGCAAUAAACGGAAAUCAUACACAUGUAGACACUAUCGCCGUUUAGCACGUAAUCGCACCUUGUCGGAAUUACUUAAAAUUCAGAAAAGAAAAAAAAUUAAAUUUAAUAGUCAUCGUGAUGCUGAUUCUCUACAGUCUUGUAGUAACUCAUAUUCUAAUACUGCUGAUGAAAAUUUCGUAUUACAAGACGGUUCAUUUACGCAGAUUCCAUUACCGUUGCCUUCUACCUCGCGCGGUAUUAAUACAAAUAAUUACUCAAUCGCACUCGAUAAAAGCUGUAUCAAAGUACAACUAAGCGAAAAAGAUAUUGCAGAUGAUUGUAGUUAUUCUUUUAGCGAUAGUGAAUUUUCUGAUUCAGAAAUUGAACAUGCGGAAUCAACCAAUCUUGACGAAAGUAAAUUGUUAUACGACGUUAAUGAAUCGAACAAUUUACUUUACGAAAGUCAAAAUCUAGAAGAAUCUCUUGAUUGUAAUCAGAGUAAUCAGAAUGACAAUAAUUUAAAAUUCAAAUUGGAUCUUCGGGAAUGGGCGAUAGCAUUUAAAAUUCAUUUAAAUGCCUUUUCUGCUUUACAAUUAAUCUUACGCAAAUAUACUUGUGUCGACUUUCCAAAAGAUGCGCGCACAUUUUUGAAAACUCCAAAAUGUACAAAUAUAUUAAGUAUGGGAAAUGGCCAGUACUGUCAUUUAGGAUUGAGAAAUGCAGUUGAGCGAAUUUUAACGAAACAAUGUGAUGGAAGGUGCGAUAAAGAUGAAAUUCGGUUAUUAGUAUGUACUGACGGAGCACCGAUUGGUCAUUCGUCUACAAAAAAUUUGUGGCCAAUCAUGUGUUGUGACACAAUUUUAAGAAUCGUACAGAUUAUUGGAAUUUAUUAUAGCGAUGGAAAGCCAGACGAUUCUAAUGAAUUUCUUGAACAGUUCGUGAAUGAAGCAAUAAAUUUAAUUAAUAAUGGCAUUUUAUAUAAUAAAAAACAUUAUAAGGUACGAAUUCAUGGAAUAAUUUGCGACGCACCGGCAAAAUCGUAUGUAUUUCAUGUCUUUUAAAUACGUUACAUUGCAAUAUUGCUGUAAUUUGUCAUUGUGUGUGUAAUGUUUCUGAGGGCGGAUAUUUUAACGUUGCCGCAGGCUAGCAGUAACAUAUUUCGCAACUUCCAUGCAAUAUUACAAUGUUACAAUGUAAGGUCUAUGCAAUGUUUCUGCAAUCUCUCGGUGCCGUAUGGGCUGUAAGAUAAUUUAAAUAAAAUCUGAGAAAGAAAAUAAUUUUAACCUGUACAGCGUGAUGAAAUUCGUUAAAAUUAAACAAACGCAUUAAUAAUUAGCAAAUUGAACAGGAUAAUAUUUGAGAACAUUAAUACCCAGACUAAGUGCAAUGAUAAAUCAGGAAUUGAUGAAAAUUCAACGGAAGAAAUUUAUAAAGAAUCCAAAGGAUCUUUAUAUAAU